GAUUUUUGGUUUGGUCACUGAACCAAAAUAUAAAUCAUUGGCUCAGCUCUAUACUCCAGGGCUCUGUGAGUUAGAAAUGGCUCAUGCUGUUGGGGCUUUAUUCAGGUUACGCUGCAGUGGCACUUAGUAGAGGAAGAAGCAAUGAUCAUGUAUCUCUCAUGGGUAUAACCACUCAGCCACUCCCAUCCCUGUUAAAUUCCCAGUCACCACCCAGCACUUGCUCCUAUAAAAUGCUUUUCUCAGAUCCUUAAAGGUGCCUAAAUACCCUUGUGGACCUUGGCCCUUGCAACUUCUUGACAUUUAACCCUGACAUCGCUAUCCCACUGAAUUUGUCCCUGUAGAUAUCCCCAAGUCAUUGUGUGACUUUUAUCCUGUAAAUACCCAGCUAAUCUACGGCUUCUGAAACUGUAAAUACUCAACCACUCAAAGAAAAUAAUACCCUUUGUAUAUCUUGCUCCACCAUGUCUUAUCCUGCAAUCAGGACAUUUUUGCUCUGCCGGUCCCCAGCCAUUCCCAGUUGCUUCCUUGCUAGGGUGCAAACACACAUGUGGCCAGAUUAAGGCCAGGACGCUAGGUUAUCUCUGAGAACUGCCAGGGGAUGUUUAUUUUGCUCUGGUGAGGCCAUGAGAGAGGACAGGUCAGGGUUGGGCUUAACCCCUCUGGCUUUGCACACAGCAGUAUCCCUGUGUGCAGUUCCUACCUAUGCUGAAAUCUGCUUAGCUGGGGACAAAUAAAGCUGGGGUUUAAGGUAGACCCCAAGACGACGACUCCUGAGGAGAUCCAGUGCUUGGUAAAUGUGACAAACAUGGUCGAUAGGGGAACUUGCAGGCUCCAGUCAUGGAGCAGUGGUGGGGUUGGCAUCAGAAGAAUGGGCAUGCCUGACUCCUGCCUGCUAAGCUAUGGGCAAAUGUUCCUCUCAGUCAGUUGUUCUAGUCCCCUCCCCCACCAUAAUGCCACUUGCUGUGCGUGUAAUCUGCAGGUUACUGUAUCUCCCCCAUAGGGGGCAUCAAGGCCAAGGCAGACCAGAACACCAUGUUUAGCAUUUCAUGAAGUCACAUCUGCUUGUAUCUCUCCCACCCCGCCUUUGUGCUGAGCAGCCUGAAGGCAUUCAAAAGGAGGUGACCCAGAGCUCCCUCAUCUGCACAAAAGGUAAGGGCCUCUCUCCAAAUUCUGUACUGCUGAGACUAGAACCAGCAGGGAGGGCAGCAAAGGGAGGGAAUCUACAGUGUCUCCCUCAGUUCCCAGCUAACAUGGUACACUCAGAUACAGCCACGUAAAACAAACCCUUGGGUGUGAACUGGUAGCUAGGACUCUCGCAAAACACUGUGAAUGCCUGUUACAUUGCACUGCUCCUAAUAUUACAUCCACACCAAGGACAGCCAAAACUCCAUCAAAAUCCACUCCAGCAAAUCCUUCAAAAGGAGUUUGCAAGUGGACAGCAAGAACUGCCUGCUGCUUCCGCAGACAGCCCUGCCUGAUGGUUCAUGUAUGUGAAUGGCAAUGGCUGUGUCUAUGGCCUACACUGGAAACUUCAAAGCGCUGUCAUGGGAACACUCCUGGGGCAGAGCUUUGAAGUGCGAGUGUGGUUGUGCGUGAGUGCUGGGAGAAAGAUGUCCCAGCACUCCUGGUAAUCCACCUCCACGUGCUCCCACUCCCCUGAGCCAGCAAGUUAGAGCACUAUAAAAUAUAAGUGUAGCCAAGCCCUAUGUGCAGCUCAAAGAUCCCCAGCCCACUGCUCCUCACUGUGGGGCCACUCCACCCAGUAAUGAACCAUUCUUGUGUUUGCCUCUUUUGUUCUUUGGUACAUUCAUUCUUCCUGUGUUUCUUUUGUUUUUUGUUUCAUUGUUUCUUACGCUUUUUGUUUCAUUCUUUAUUCACUGUCUCUCUAGCUCCUUCUUUCUCUUUCAUGUAUCCUGUUCCUGUGUUUCCUUCACUGUUUUGAAGAAACUUUUUCUUAAGCUUCUUCAGAUCAAUUCUGCACCCAGAAAAAUAGAUGUAUUUUUUUAGCUUUAGAAUCUCCAAGUGGCACAUGAGGCAACCCAUUUUUCCCACUGCUGUCUGUCCAGAGCAAGAUGAGUCACUCCAUUAUAAGUUGUCUCCAUGAUGGAUGCAUCAUUUUCAAUCCUCCUGCUCAGAGAAGUGGAUGUAUUUCCAAGUGAAAUUUAUGCCAAUUACAUCCUAUUGCGCUCUUUUUGGUUUUCCUCUUUCCCAGGCAGUGAGGUUUCUCGGGGACAUUAACUGCAAUGGAUUGUGUCUCCAUUGCAGAUACAAUCAUCUUCCAGGAGGAGUCUCUGUGCUGUAGUAUGAGUCAAAAUUGAAUCUGGAUCUGAACUUAAUGAUGUGGAAAAGAGGAUAGAAGCAGAUCUGUCAGAAAGGUGUUUGAGAACUGCCACGGUGUUAAAUGCAGGAUGGGAGUGAUUGGGGUUUUAUUGUCAGGAUUAGUUUCCCUUUGUUAUAGACAAUCCUGAGAUACAAGAUCCUCAUGCCCCAAAAGACAUCUGGGUUCAAUCUCUCUCUGCAGACAGUGAACGCUUCCUACACAGCAGCCUUGCAGCAAAGUUUGAUCUGCUCCUUUCAGACAGGUCACUUCCCACCGUUGCCUCAGCUCCCUGAAUGACAAGAACCAGCCAACAGGGAAACAGGGGAGAGGAGGGUUUAAAACAGGAUGACUGAUUAUAAAUAUUGUUACAAAUCUGGAGCACCCAAGGACUUCCGUGUUGUCACUCUGCUGAACUGCAUGGCCCCUCAGGGCUGCACUGUGACUGUGUGCAUAGGACUUGGCUUCUCCUGCCUCAAAAACCUGGGCCUCAAUGACUGGAGCAAAAGGGGAUUCUCCACUAUAUGUUAGCAGUAUAGAGCCUAUGAUACACAACUAAGCAUUUCUGAUUCAUCCAACAAUGCCCUGCAGUGCAAAUGUAUACUAAAUAGCUGGGUACAAUGUUAGUGCUGUUUUAUAAUGGGGAUGAUUCACCUUUACUCCCUGCACCCCUUUAGCCCUCCCUGGGCUCAGUCAUUAAGUAGUCCCAGCCCUGGUAUGGGACCAUAUCCCCAGGGCUUCCUCCCUGGAGACACAACCUUCCUAAGGCCAGCUCAGUCCCAGCAUCCAGCCCAGAGCUCCUUCUUUGCUCCCCUGGUCCCUACUAGCAAAUUGUCUUUGGCUCAGUCCUAGCAGCCAGCUAGGAUCCUCUCACCGCCCCAGUCCCUGCCGCCACUUAGCUGUCUGUGCGCCUGCUGCUCUUCAGCCAGGUACACAGUCCCUUCUUCUCCAGCUCCAAACAGGAACUAACUGCUGAGUUGUUCUGCAGCUCCUUUUAUAUGGCCCUCCUGGCCCCUGACUGGCUGUUCCAGCAGCUCCUCUGAUUGGUUGCUUCCGCACAACCACUCUAGGCUGCUUGGAGGAUCUCUCCACAGCUCCUUGCUUGGGGUGGGUGUGGCAAACCCUGAGGCCUCCAAGCAGUUGCCCUUUGGGCCUAGUCCACCCCAUCACAAGGCCCCAGGUAACAAAGUCCAGUAAUUUUGGAUCACGUCCCUGUACUAUGGUCCUAAUGAAACACUUAGAACAUUAAGUUCCAUGCAGGGUGAGGGAGCUACUGUGCCUCAUGGCAACACCCUUUCUGUCUCUAGGUGUUUAUAGAGCACCAGCACCAUAGAAACCAGGCACUGUAUUAAUAAGCCUUCUCUCAUGCCCUCUCCCUCCAGGGGACCCUUCGCUACCCUCUCUCUCCUCGAUGUCAUUAAGUUAUCACAGUGCAACAGGUAAAUCAGAAAGGUCUUCACAGGCUAUUCGUGCUCUGGAGCAGAACGUUUCCUCUUCAUUUGUGGUCCAGACUGAUCCAGUCUCUCUCAUUUCAGUUAUGCCAGGACAUGCAAUAGCUCCAGGGUGGCCAUUGUUGAUGGCAGGAUGCUCUCAGGCUUCAUCUCUUCAUAUCAUCCUGGUAGAAGGUCUCUCAGAAGAAUAUCAGUUUCUUAGCUGAGCAAGAACUUCCUGUGUCCAAUAUCAAACUGGCUUCAGUGCUGAUCUACGGUUAAUAUGAAAGAGCUGCAGCUGUAGGGACAGAAACAAAUUCUGCAUCUUUCCACUGAGGAGGCAAGAGGUCCAUGUACUUGUAUCAUGAAUGGAAGAUCACAGCCUAGGUUGGUUGUAAUACACUGGAAGGAUUUGGGGCAAACACGUCUUGCUGAGUACAGCACAGCCUGUGGUCAGACAUCUCACCCGGAAAGCAGCUGCAAGUCUGCAGCGAUUAGAGUAACGUGACAAAUAUGGAAUGCGAACUGAGGAAAGAAGCUGGACAGUUUAUUUCCCUCUGACUAUAGACUGUUAGUAAAUGUUACACUUACAAUCUGGCUGACUGCAUGCUGUGACUGUGCAGUAGGUAACUUGGCUAGAUUCAACCCUAGUGUGUAUAUCCCCUCCAUAAACUCCCUCUAGAUCUAUAAGACCACACAUGACCCUGGUUCCACACUCAGACUGAGAACUGUAGUUGGUCAAAGCAUGUAACAUUCCCCAUAAUAAACUUCUCAAAUUCCACAUGCCUGGGUCCUGGUUAUCUUGUUCUCUCCACACACUUUAGUGGCAAGAACACUUGCUGUUAGUAAACUCAAUGGCAUUUCCCUUUUGUAGUGCAAUAAAAACUUAUGAACACCCCAGCUGACCAAUUCCAAAAUUUCAGGGAAUGUUCUAGGCAUCAGUGGGCAGAACCCUGCAGAUUUUGAAGAAACAUGGAUAACUGGAAAAGCCUGAUUUCUACUGGUGCAUGUGUAAUUUAAAGUCAGGCCUACAACAUAUGCAUUUGCUGCAGGCAAAGAAAUCUCUGGUGCCCCCUGCUGCUGCCUACACAAAUCACAAGCUGCUGUUUAAUAUGCUGCUGUCUCUCCAUUAGGUGGAUUGCUAGGCCUAUGUAACCAAUGAUGUGUGCAAUUUC